rnacentral:rRNA from 2 species
UACGGAGGGUGCGAGCGUUAAUCGGAAUUACUGGGCGUAAAGAGUGCGUAGGUGGUUGAUUAAGUUAUCUGUGAAAUCCCUGGGCUCAACCUGGGCAGGUCAGAUAAUACUGGUUAACUCGAGUAUGGGAGAGGGUAGUGGAAUUUCCGGUGUAGCGGUGAAAUGCGUAGAGAUCGGAAGGAACACCAGUGGCGAAGGCGGCUACCUGGCCUAAUACUGACACUGAGGCACGAAAGCGUGGGGAGCAAACAGG